rnacentral:lncRNA from 1 species
UGCCUGCAGCUGGAGGGAGCGCACUAACAGAGACCCCCUGCCUCCGAGAACCCUGGGGCCAGACUUGUGGGCGGGGUGGGGGAUCCCCCACCCCCGAGAAGCCGCCCAGCUGCCCGGAUCCACAGUGCUGCAAAGUAAAACCGAAUCACUGGGGAGGGGGUGAGCAGGAAGAGUGAUUUAAGGGCCCACAUCACCGCCAGGCGGGGGUCUGGACCCGCAGUCACACAGUCACACACGGAAGCACACACAAGGCCCUCACAUCUCCAUGACAGGUUGCGCACACGUGUGGGAGAGAGACCAGACGGCCGUGCACACGGCAGACACCAGGGUAGCAGCAGGGGGCACUGACCUUGGAGACGGCUCCGGCGGGGGGUCCUUCCUUCAAACAGAAGCAACAGAGAGUUAGUGGCCGCCCACUCAGCACCCAUGAGGGUCCCCCAACCAGUCCAGCCCCCCACAGUCCCAUGGGUCAGGGGCUGCAGGGGAGGGGGGUCUCAGAAAAGGCUGGGCAGGGGUGGAGCUGGCCCACCCACCCCAGAGAGCCCACGGCCCCAGGAACGGGCACCCCAGGGCCCACGGAGGCAGCUCCGAGAGGGAAGAGGGACUCCAUGGGGCGGGGGCCUCUGCUCUUCUGACCUGGGGGUCUCUACCCCUCCACAUUUACAGACACUCAUUUUAAUCAGAACCACACCAAUAUUAAUAAAGUUCCAAAAAGCACGUGUUUGCUGAAGGAAGCUCUGGAAGGGAGUUUAAUUUACAAUCAAUUUUCGAGACAGAGUGAGCUGCUCCGACUCUUUUUUCCACGCUCAUCCUAAUGGAAUGAUUCUCUUCCGCGUGACUUUCCAGGGGUGGCUCCACUGCGCCACAGUCAGUGAGCCCAGGGUUUGCACCGCUGACCAACUGUCCCGGCCUCGUCCUGCAGGCAAAGCUGUCUGGGCCUUCCGGCGUCUCAUCUGGGGCUGUUUCCGCGGGUAAAGGCGUUAUGGAUUGAGUGAGAGAUCGGCGGAUCGUGAUUUGGCUCAUCCAUGGGGAGGCCCCAGCGAUCUCAUUCGAACACCUGGGCUGGUGCCCCGGCUGGUACGCCGUGUUACAAGCAGGCUCUUUGGUGCACUUCCAAAUACUUCAUGUGACAGGGACCGUGUUGCCGUGGAACAUGGUCCACGCUCUCGGGGAGGGUCCCUCAUCACCUCCUGCAGCUCCCGGUGGCCCAGGUGUCCUUGGCUUGUGGCUGCACCGCCCCGUCUCUGCCUCCGUCUCUACACGACAUUCUCUGUGUCUCUGUGUCUUCUCCUCCUCUACCUCUGUAAGGACAGCUGUCACCGGGCUAGGGCUCAAGCUGUCACCAGGCUCAUCAGGAUGUUCCAGGAUGACCUCAUCUCAAGAUCCCAAGCUCAGUUACAGCUGCAAGGACCCUUUCUCCAAAUCAGGUCACAUUUGCAAAUUCUGGGACAUUUUGGAGACCAGCAUUCAACCACUGCAUUCCCCCGACCCCCCAAAAUUCAUGUCCAUCUUACAUCGAGAAUACACUCACCCCUGCCAAGAUCCCCCAAAAUCUCCACCCUCUGCAGCAUGGACUGUGUGUCCAAAACCUCAUCGAAAUCCCAUCCGUUGGCCAGGCACAGUGGCUCACACCUGUAAUCCCAGCACUUUGGGAGGCCGAGGCGGGUGGAUCACCUGAGGUCAGGAGUUCGAGACCAGCCUGACCAACAUGGUGAAACCCCGUCUCUACUAAAAAUACAAAAAUUAGCCGGGUGUGGUGGCAGGUGCCUGUAAUCCCAGGUACUCGGGAGGUUGAGGGAGGAGAAUCACUUGAACCCAGGAGGCAGAGGUUGCAGUAAGCUGUGAUUGCGCCACUGCACUCCAGCCUGAGUGACGCAGGGAGACUCCGUCUCAGAGAAAAAAAAAAGAAAUCCCACCCAUUCAAAACGUCCCAAAUCCCAUCCUCUGAAGUCAUGACAAUCACUUAAAUCAGGUAUGUGUGAGACCGUGGGUGUGCGCCAACCUGGGGCUAAAGUCCUCCAUGCAUGGGCUUGUGAACUAGAAAACAAGCCAUCUGCUUAAAGUAUCAACAGCAGGACAGCUCUUCCCACUCAAAAAGGGAGAAUGACAGAGGGGCCGCCGGCCACCACGUUUCCAAUCCGGCGGGGCAAACUCCACGUGGCACAGCUCUGGGGACGCUCCUCGGGGGCUCUCAGCCCCGCCGGCCUCUGCGGGAGCCUCGGGAUCGUUCCCCGUUUCCUAAAGGGCAGCUCGUGUUCACAGCUGAGGAGCGCCACCGGCCUGUUUCCUGCCUGCAGACUCCCGAAGUUCGAUGCCCUCUUACCUUCGUCCAACGCUGUCUCUGCCAAUCUAGUUUCUGCUGGUAUGAAACUCCCCAAAACCUCUAGGGCCUCCUGAAUAUGCCACAGGCCGCAACGCCGUUAGACAAGAGGCCCCUCUGCACAUCCUUCCCGAUAGCUCCAUCUUCAGGCCUCUGUGGAGACGGUGGAGGCUGCAGCCGCACACCUGGUGCCUUCAGCAUGAGGCUGUCUGGCCACACCUGUGGGCUUCUCUCCAAAGCAGGCUUUGCCAACAGUGAAUCUCCUAAUUUAAGACCCUUUGCAAGCUGGACAGGCUGAGCACCUCCCAAACCUUCAAGUUCUGGUUUCUUACAGCAGUUCUGCCCUGAAUGCCUUUUUUUUUUUUUUUAAUAGUCUUUUGGCGGAUCGGCCAGGUGCUGCUCUGAAUCUCCCUGUUUCCUCUCAUACUUUACUAUGAGCAGCAGAAAUAAAUUAGGCUGCACCUUCCACACUUUGCUUGGAAAUCUUCUUGGCUAAAUAUCCCAGUUCAUCACUUAAAAAUUCUGCCUCUGCCCAACAGUAGCGCACAGCCCAGUGGAGUCUCUGCCACCAACAACACAAGGACAGCCUUCCCUCCAGCUUCCAACACCUGCAUCCUCACUUCCUCCUGAGCCCGCACCAGAAGCACCUUCAACAUCCGUGUCCCCACCCACCAUCUCUUCAGGACACCUCAGUUUCUUCCAGCCUGCACCUCAAAAUACUCACGUCCAAAAUCUCAUCCAAAUCCCAUCAGUUCAAAAAGUCCCAAAUUUCUGGCUCACGCCUGUAAUCCCAGCACUUUGGGAGGCCGAGACGGGCAGAGCCCUUGAGGUCAGGAGCUUCAGACCAGCCUGGCCAACAUGGUGAAACCCCAUCUCUACCAAAAAUAACAAAACUUAGCCGGGCGUAGUAGCAGGUGUCUGUAAUCCCAGCUACUCAGGAGGCUGAGGCAGGAGAAUCACUUGUACCCGGGAAGUGGAGGUUGCAGUGAGCCAAGAUCGCACCACUGCAUUCCAGCCUGGGCGAAAGAGCAAGACUCCAUCUCAAAAUAAUAAUAAUAAAUAAAAUAAUAAAGUCAUCAGAAUCAUUUAAAUCAGGUGUGUGUGAUUGCAGGUGUGCAUCAGCCUGGGGCUGGAGUCCUCCACGCAUGAACCUGUGAUUCUAGGAAACGAGCCCUUGGCUCACCCGGUUCUGAUGUCACACCCGCGCUUGUAGGCGUUUGCCACAGCCGCACGCGGCUCCCGGUAUUAAAG